GGAGGUUUAGCUCAGUUGGUUAGAGUGCUUGCCUCACACGCGAGAUGUCUGCGAUUCAACUCCGCUAGUCUCCACCA
rnacentral:tRNA from 1 species